AUGCGCCACUGGAGUUUGGCACUGAGCUUGGGGCUGCGGUGUCGGAUCAUGACAGGGAUGGUCCUUUGUUCUUCAUGGAUCAGUCUGCCGGUAACGAUGAGGAUGACUUGCCUGUUUAUGAGGAGGAUUUCGGCAGUGAAGUUGAUGAAGUUGAGAAAGGAGGCUGAUGAGCGUGUGAUCUCGGGCAGAGAGUAUGAAGCUAGGUUGCGUGGUCACCAUGCCAAGUUGAACCCCUUUACCGGCUGGGCAGAUAUGGACCGUAAAGCUCUUCGUCCUGGGAUGUACGACGGUGAAUCCGAUGAGGACAGCGGAGUCGACAAUAUUCUUCGAAACGACGAUGAGCUUGUUGUCAGGGGUACUGCUAAGCUUCUUCCUGACAUGUUGGACUUCUCAAGGCUUGUUGAUGCUAAUGCGCAGGAGCCAUCCAGUGGUCCUAUCAAUUCCGUGCAGUUUCAUAGGAAUGGGCAGCUGAUGCUUGCUGCUGACCUGGAUAAACAUCUGAGAUUUUUCCAGAUUGACGGGAAAAGAAACCCCAAGAUCCAGAGCAUAUAUAUGAAUAUAUCGAGGAUUGUCUGGUUCACAAGGCAUCCUUUCUACCUGAUGGCUCUGAAGUGA
rnacentral:rRNA from 1 species